UACGUAGGGCGCAAGCGUUAUCCGGAAUUAUUGGGCGUAAAGAGCUCGUAGGCGGUUUGUCGCGUCUGCUGUGAAAAUCCGAGGCUCAACCUCGGACUUGCAGUGGGUACGGGCAGACUAGAGUGUGGUAGGGGAGACUGGAAUUCCUGGUGUAGCGGUGGAAUGCGCAGAUAUCAGGAGGAACACCGAUGGCGAAGGCAGGUCUCUGGGCCAUUACUGACACUGAGAAGCGAAAGCAUGGGGAGCGAACAGG
rnacentral:rRNA from 1 species